GUUCGGACGGUCACGUGUCCCAGCUUGCCGGCCUGGGGCUUGCAGUGCGCCUGCGCCGCAGCGGGGCGGGGCGGGGUGUGUUUCCGCAGAGGUUCCUGCGGCGGGAGCGUGCGCGUGGGCGUCGCGGUCGUCCUCUCCGCGCACAGGUCAGUGCUUCGCGCUUCCCCAGCCGGAGAAGCUGGUGAGGAGGUGUGGGCUUCGGCCAGGGCCUGGGAAUUUAGCCGGGAAUCCGAAGCACCUCAAGCCAAACACUCCCGACCCCGCCGAGUUGGAAGCAGGGCAUAGUAGUAGCUGCCAAGGUGCAUGAAAUCACCUUGAACUUAGGAACUGGAAGAAGUGCUCCCAAAGCAUUAGCAGAGACACGUUUCUGAGACACCCGACUAUGUGACACUCUGAUUUCACAGCCCUGACUUCCCCACCUGUGGAACAUGUAGGAUCGUUUGCCUAAGAUGCGACCAUGCCAUCCAGGCUUCUCCACACCCUGGCAAGUUUACACAGCAUAUCAGCAAAGGCUCAUCAGUGCCAGAGACUUACUUGGCUUACAUUAAGACCACUUAGGAAAUCUGAAAGUACAACAUGCCACAAUGGCCUGACAAUACAGCAACAUUUACACUCAUUCUUUCCAAGUAUAACAGCUGACAGUUUGAAUAAGCCAGAGAUCCUGGAAAUGAGCCGGAUAACAUCAGACACAAGCAGACUCUUUCCGUUAAAUGCUGUCCAUUGGUUGGACGGCAAAGAACACUGGCCAAGCAUGCACCCCUUUGGGACUCACAGGAGCAUGACCCACAAACCAAAUCUCUUGUGUUCUAAGUGGUUUAUAAAAGCAGUAAAGAGGCAUCACUCAUCUGUAUCAAAUGAAGCACUUGUUCCCAAACAAGACCUUCCGCAGAUCAAGAGGCCGCUGAAAGCAUCCCGGACCCGGCAGCCAUCCAGGACCAACCUUCCAGAUCUGUCUGUGAAUGAGGACCUGAUGCAGUGCACAGCAUUUGCAACCGCAGAUGAGUAUCACCUGGGAAGUCUGUCUCAAGAGCUGGUCUCCUGUGGCUAUGUGGAAGUGACAAGCCUGCCUAGAGAUGCAGCAAAUAUUUUGGUGAUGGGUGUGGAAAGUUCUGCAAAAGAAGGUGAUCCCGGAACAAUAUUCUUGUUCAGGGAAGGAGCUGCUGUGUUCUGGAAUGUAAAAGAAAAAACUAUGAAGCACGUGAUGCAAGUUCUAGAGAGACACGAAACCCAGCCCUAUGAAGUGGCUCUCGUUCACUGGGAGAACGAAGAACUCAACUACAUAAAGACAGAGGGACAAUCAAAACUGCACAGAGGGGAAAUCAAGCUAAACUCUGAGCUGGACUUGGAUGACGCCAUUCUAGAGAAAUUUGCGUUCUCCAACGCUCUCUGCCUGUCAGUGAAGCUGGCUAUUUGGGAAGCAACCCUGGACAAAUUUAUUGAGUCUAUUCAGUCCAUUCCAGAGGCAUUAAAAGCUGGGAAGAAAGUCAAACUGUCUCAUAAAGAAGUUAUGCAGAAAAUGGGUGAGCUCUUUGCCCUCAGGCACCGAAUAAACCUGAGCUCAGAUUUCUUGAUCACCCCUGACUUCUACUGGGACAGAGCAAACCUGGAAGAGCUUUAUGACAAGACCUGCCAGUUCCUUAGCAUCACGCGAAGAGUUAAGGAGACAGACAGGACAGUUGCUCUCAAGACCAAGCUGGACUAGAGAUAAGAACCUGACAGCCUUGACCACCUGAAGGAAGGUCAUGAAUGAAAAACUGCAGCACUGCAUGGAACUAACAGACCUAAUGCGGAAUCACCUCAAUGAGAAGCGAGCACUCCGCUUGGAGUGGAUGAUCGUCAUCCUCAUCACCAUUGAGGUAAUGUUUGAGCUGGGGAGAGUCUUCUUCUGACCUUGUGAUCAUGAAAGCACCACACUGGCAAGAGAGAAGUCAAGUUCUGAACCAGCAAAGCCAGCGUUCACUACUGGUGACUCUUACUCUACCCUCUAAGUCAAGGGGCUGUCAGUGCGCAGGGGACACACCUAGAACCUCAGGAAGCUGAAGCAGGCAGAUCCUGAUGUCCAGAGCAGCCCUGGCUACACAGGGAAACGCACUCAUCUCUGCACUGGAAAAGCAGAGGCAGACUGCCCAGUUUGAGGCCAACAAUAACACAGCAGAACUGUCUCAAAAUAAAACACAAAUGACAUAAUGA